rnacentral:rRNA from 1 species
GACAGCUGUCGAAAGAUGGUUUUCUUCGGACACUCUUCAAGGUGCUGCAUGGUUGUCGUCAGCUCGUGCCGUGAGGUGUCGGGUUAAGUCCCAUAACGAGCGCAACCCUUACCGUUAGUUACCAUCAGGUUAAGCUGGGGACUCUAGGCGGGACUGCCACCGUAAGGUGAGAGGAAGGUGGGGAUGACGUCAAAUCAGCACGGCCCUUAUGUCCAGGGCUACACACGUGUUACAAUGGCCGGUACAAAGGGCAGCUACUUCGCGAGAAGAUGCUAAUCUCGAAAGCCGGUCUCAGUUCGGAUCGAAGUCUGCAACCCGACUUCGUGAAGCUGGAUUCGCUAGUAAUCGCGCAUCAGCCAUGGCGCGGUGAAUACGUUCCCGGGCCUU